AUUGAUCCUUCCAUUUUUAUGGUUGAACCUCCAAUGAUGAAAAAAAAAAAAAACUGAAUAAAUGAAAAGUUUGUAGAAAACUUAAAGGUCACCUUUAUUACCUUGUUAUUUUUUUAAAGACCCUGAGGAGGC
rnacentral:sRNA from 1 species